UGGCAGUAAACCUUCCAACUCGGAAAUUAUAAUGUAGUUUUUUUAAGGAAUAUCCAGUUGCUAGAUACCUGAAAUAAAAAUUAUGAAUGAAUUCAUUGAAAAUACCGGAAAAAGAGAGUCACUACAUAAAAAAUGGAAGAAUAUACGUGAUCGGUUUACAAGAGAAAUUCAAAGCCAAAAAGGAAAAUCCGGAGACGAAGCCCGAAAAAAAGCGCCAUAUGUCUAUUCACAACAACUAUUGUUCCUUAAAGACACUCUAACACCAAGAAAAACUACAGAUACAUUAGAAGACCUAAACACCCAAGCAAGUAAUGCAGAAAGUGAAGAAUCUAGACCUAGUUAGACAUUGUCUUCUUGGAUCACAGCAACUGCAAAAUAUGUUUCAGGACGACCGAUUGUAGGUAAAAAAAGUUCAUAAUCCGCCCUUGAAGAUACAAUUUUUAGUUCAUUGGAGAGCUAUGAAAAGAGGGUCAAAAUGGAAUCCCCACAAAAUUAUGAUGAUAACAGCCACUUUUUGCUUUCUUUGGUACCUAGUCUCGCAUCUCUGCCAAAGAUGUUGAAUACAAAGUGUAGGAUAGAGCUUAUGCAAGCAAGUGAUAAGCAAAUAUGAAUCGUACGCUUCGCAGCAACCACAGCAACAACAACCAGUCUAUUUCUCGUAACAAACUCAACAACACUCUGUUCUCAGACGUACUUCACAACACACACAGGAACAACCUACUUAUUCAUAUGCAGUUCAAAAAAACUCUUUCAGUAACAAUCAGUUCCAAGCUGACUACCAAGAACAAUCUAGAGUUCCUGUACCAACUCUUUCUCCAGCUGGCUCUGUCCAAUCGUACCUCAGUAAUUUCAGCCCAGAAGAGGAAUCCCAGUUUAGCGUUUUCUAAUAUAAUCAAGAUUUAGUAUUUGUAGGAAAGUUUCUCAAUAAAAUUACUAUUAGUAC